GAUGAACGCUAGCGGCAGGCUUAAUACAUGCAAGUUGAGGGGCAGCAUGAUAUACGCGAGUAUAUUGAUGGCGACCGGCGGACGGGUGAGUAAUAGGUAGGAGACCUACCUCAUACAGGGGGAUAGCAUAGAGAAAUCUGUGGUAAUACCCCAUGAGGUUAUAUGAAUAGAGGCAUAUAAUCAAAGCAUAAGCGAUUAUGCGGUAUGAGAGGGGCCUACUGACCAUUAGCUAGUUGGUGAGGUAAGGGCUCACCAAGGCGAAGAUGGUUAGGGGUUUUGAGAGAGAGACCCCCCACAUUGGAACUGAGAGACGGUCCAGACUCCUACGGGAGGCAGCAGUAGGGAAUAUUGGGCAAUGGGCGAAAGCCUGACCCAGCCAUGCCGCGUGAAGGAAGACGGCCUUAUGGGUUGUAAACUUCUUUACUACGCGAAUAGAGGUUAGUACGAGAUACUAAUAGGAAGGUAGUGUAGUAAAAGCACCGGCUAACUCGUGCC
rnacentral:rRNA from 1 species